UACGUAGGGUGCAAGCGUUAAUCGGAACUACUGGGCGUAAAGCGUGCGCAGGCGGUUAUAUAAGACAGUUGUGAAAUCCCCGGGCUCAACCUGGGAACUGCAUCUGUGACUGUAUAGCUAGAGUACGGUAGAGGGGGAUGGAAUUCCGCGUGUAGCAGUGAAAUGCGUAGAUAUGCGGAGGGACACCGAUGGCGAAGGCAAUCCCCUGGGCCUGCACUGACGCUCAUGCACGAAAGCGUGGGGAGCAAACAGG
rnacentral:rRNA from 1 species